ACCGGCUCUCCUGGGAUAGGCUGCAGAACUGGCCAGGAGCCCCAGCUCCAAACAGGCCUCUGAGGGUGGACGCCUCACGGGAAGUCCUACCAGGCCCCCAAGUGCCUUUGGGGCCCCCCACCAGAGGCUGCAGCCGUUCAAAGGGGGGCCCACCUCCAGCCGAGGGGCCUUCUGAGCACAGUGGGGAGACCUGAGCCUUCGCCCAUGUUUCAAACAUGGAGAGGCAGGCGGGGCAGGCUCCCCCGCCCCUCAGAUGCCUGAGGAUGUGUGGGGAGGGGCGACCGGCCUCUGCUCUGAGCACAUGGUGGUCGGGGCUCACUUCGUGCGGCCCCCACAGACAUCCUGCUGCUGGGCUCUGACCUCCUCCAGGAGCAGCAUCUUCUGAUGGAUUUCCCCGCCCCCAGAGCUGUUGAGAUAACUCUGGAGAGGAGAAGGACCUGGGCUGUUACCUCUAAAAGGACCACUCCCAGUGAGAACGAGGAAGCCCAAGCUGCUUCUGGCAGCCGUCUUGUCACCACGAGGGAAUCAACUGACAGAAGAGGCUGCAGUAGAGAGGACUACAGAGACACAGAGCUGGAUCCUUGAUCAGACCUCUCCUGAAGCAUGCCUUCUGGAAUUCCCAGGAAGAUGCCUUGUUGUGCAAGCCAGUUUGGGUUGAGUUUCCCUUCCCUGAAGCUGAAACCAUCCAGCUGAGAUAGCUGGGCCAUCCACAGGCAGGUGACCUCUUCCUCAUGCCUUUGUUAUGCGUCUCCACCUUCUAGGAGGUCGGCUCCACGGGGACAGGGACAAUGUUAUUCAUGGCUGUGUCUCCGGUGACUGGAAUGGGGCCCGCACGUAGUACACAGUAGCUGCAUAAUAAAUGUGUGUCGUUUGAUGAACACAUCUUAGGGCUAUCGACCCAGGAGAGAAAGACAGAGACUCUCUGAUAAACAAUAUCCAGAGUUUCACAAUCAGCAGAUCUGGAAAUAAUUCUGGGGACACCAAAGUUUGGGUUUCAGGGUGCCCGAUGGUUUAUUUUGGAUUUCUUGGGGCGAGGGGCACACUGUCACCUUGGCUGCCCUUGAGGCUCUGAGGGGCUGAGCUCAGCACUGUCCAGGGUAAAUGGGAGCUGGUGGCUUGGGCGCAGAGGGCCCCAGGGGGCCACCUGGUGUCCCCAAACCCAACAGGCAUGGGCUGGUGAUGAGUGGGGCCAUGCUGCCCGUGGCUGCCCCGCCCAGGGCUCCUGUCGCAGGGCCAUCGGGGCACAGGGUGGGGCGCCGUGUGCUGCAGGAGGAAUCACUCUGCUGUGUGAGCACCUGCUGUAUGCAGGUAUGGUGUCUAUGCAAACAGCACCACAGACAGCCCUCUCCAUAACCGGGCAACAAACCAUGGGCUGCAUUUUGGCCACAUGCCAGGCUCUGCGCUGAGCACUUCUUAGCAUUACCAUAAGAACCCGAAUGGGCAGCUAUUCCUGCUUUAAUUAUCCCCCUAUCAUCUCUGAGCCCACCCAGAAUCAGAGAGGUGAAGCCACUUGCCCAAGGUUACACAGCCAGCAGGGGGCAGAGCCAUCCUCGAACCCGGAACUGGCUCUGCCUGGGCCUUGGGCCUGGCUCCUUCCUGCCUAUAGUGUAACUGCCCCUCUGACACCCCUGUGGACAGAAGGCCAGCCCGUAGCAGGUGCUCAGGAAGCGGAGGGACCCAUAUGCCACUCACCCUGUGCCAUCCCACCGGAGGGAAGUGCCCGCCUGCAGAGGGGCCAUGGGGCCUCCCCACACCCCCAGAGGUGUCCCACAGUCACAGCAGGACAGGGAUCAGAUUAUCUGACAGUACUUUGCUCUCUCCUGUUGAGAAAAACAGCCACAGAUGAGAACGGCCUCUCCAGCAGUGCAGACAGGGAGGGAAGAUCACCCACUGCUGUGCCCAAACCCCCUCAUCAGGAGGGCAGGUGGCAAGGCCCCAGGGAGGAGGACAUUGUCAGAACCACUCAGAGCAGAGGUGUGAGCCCCGAAUUCCAACGCGCUCCCUCCCAGGGUGCUCCACUGGCUGGAGUCAGAGGUUGCCCAGCCAGAGCAGAGCAGCCCUCUCAGGCAGGCCUGUGCAGGGAGGAGGCGUGGGGGUUGCAUCUACCUGGAGGGCUGAGGGCAACCUAAGGAGUCCUGGGCAUUGGGUCCCCUGGCCAAGUGGAACACUGUGUCCCCCACACCUGGCCACAGUCAGCGUCCCAGAUUGGACCAGUGAGAUGCAGUCUUGAAGCUCUGAAAAGUUAGGGGCUGGGAGGGUGUUAGGCGGGGGCUGCUGGCCGACAUCUUCCUCUGUGGAAAAGUGGAAGAUGAAGGCCGAGGCCUGGUUCUGAAGACGUGCUGAGCGUCUUGAUCCAGCCACACCUGAAGCUGAUCACUCCUAAGCUGGGCAGUUACAUGGACCAACACCUUCUCCUGUUUCCUUGGGCCACUUUGAGUUGGGCUCUUGUCACAACAACCGAGAGUCCCGAUGUCUACAGAAUUGGAAGGUGGGGGUGGGCUGUGACUUCUCUUCCUGCCUGGAAACUGUCACAGAUGGAGAAAUGACAGGGA